AGCUCACAUGAUGGCUUUCUCUCAUGCCUUUCCACACAGUGUACAAUCGCGGGAUUGUGGCAUCACUGAAGAUCUGAAACUGGCCGGGUAGGACGUCAACAACAGCCAGCAAAUUAUUAGAAAUUAAGACAAUUUGUAAAAUGAAGUUUUUCAGGUUCCUGGACCACAUAUAUGCUGAUGUAUUUUCGAGCGGACUUUCUCUGACUGUUGACCGCGGAAAUCCGUGAACGAGGUUAUCAGAAAGCUGCGAUAAGAGAGGAAAACGGAGAGGAAGAGAAGCAGCCCGACGCGGUGUGAAGGAAUGGAAUAAACCCCAGAGCAGAACCAGAGGAAGGAGAGAUGACUGCCGUGAGAUGAGAGGGAUAGAGCAGGUCACAGAACAACUAGAGAGACCGUUCAGCUGUGAAGAGACAGGAGAAGCCAGAAGAUCACACAAACACACCCACAGGUGAGAUGCAGGUGAGCAUUAAGAUGGAGGUAAACAGAUCACAUAGUGUGUGUGAGAGAGCUGCAGACAGGCUGAGCUAACCAGUCUGUACCUGCUGGCAGCUUGUAAAUCUAACAUAAAAACAGGAAGGAGUUUCCUCCUCAGAGGAAGGAGUAUAUUACAUAUUACAUAUAUUACAUAUAAUAUAUAUUACAUGCAUAUUAUUGUCUGCAAUAUAUUACUUUCCCCUAAUGCCAUUAUGUAGAUACAUUCUGGCUACCAAAGUAGUUAUAUGUUAUAACUACUGCAGAUAAGGUCUAUGAAAAUGUUUUAUUAUAGUGUAGCCUAAUAAAAAAAGAAACUUACCAAAUGCUCUGUUAAAUUCCUUACUAGUGUAGUUACAAUAUAGUCACAUGUAACUAAUUACACCAAAAUAUUACAAGUUCCCUACAGUGUAUGAAGUGUGCCCACUGCCCAACCAGUCUCAUCUGUCAGUAACACCAAAGGAUCAUGUUCAUUGUGCACCAAAUGGAUGAAAACGGAUGGGUGAAAACAGCCUGAAACUGGGUGGGACUACCUGGACUUGUCCAAGUAGAAACUCACAUUUUUGUUGUCCAAUGGCUUCCCUAAUGAACAUGACCCAGUAGCCUGCUGCCCUGCGGGGAAACCGGUCUGUCCUGUAUUGUAAUUGUGUUGCCUGGCUGUCCCUAACCAGUCGUCACAAAAUAUUCCCUGUGCCAUCGUUGCACCCCCUCAUGUCUGAAAGGAGCUCUCGGAGUUGUAAAAUAGUCUAAAAUUUCACACACUGCUACGCUAGCAAUGUGCAGACAGCUCCCAUGGGUAUUUUUACGUAAUUUGAUUGCGCCAAAACGAUUUGUCACUGGAGUUUGUUGUUUUUCAAUAGGGGACCCAAUACAUGUGGUUGUAAUUUUGGCUCUCUCUUAUGUCUUCUCUUUCUCAUUCAUCCGAAAAUAGAUCAAAUCGUCUCCAUUUCAGCGAUGGAGAGACAUUUGUAGAGAAGGUUACGUACAACCUCGUUCUGUAUGCUUUGACUAUAGGGGAAAUCACUUCUAACACAAAACCUUUACAUUGAGUCGCACAUUCACAGUGGUCUCCAACCGACCGUCGUCUUACAACAAUGAAGUGGUCAAAUGUCAGAGCUGCUCACACCAUUAAGACCGGCUUGUCUGCGUGAGAAAGACUACUACCCCCCCCCCUAGCCCCAUAUACUGUAGACUUCCUCCUUCCCCACCACCCACCCCGGCCCGUCGGCGGUGAUGCCCAGCCCCGUCACUCCGAUUUGGGCUUGGACGUCAGCUCAGGGUCCAUCUCUGUUUCUCGCUGACUCCUGGCCUAACCAGUCUGAGUCAUGCUCGUCCUCUGGACAUAGAAGACCUUGGAGUACACUGCCACUACCUCUGCUUAUCUGCUUCUGUCAUUUCGCACAAUGUCAAUCCAAUGGCUUAAUAAGGGGCCAGGGGUCAGGGAGUUUGAUGUGGCCCUCGAGCGAGGACUCGCUGUACUUUUGGUCAUGUUUCUGCAGCAAGCCAAUAAAGGCCUGGUUAGGAAUUAGUAUAUAUUUUUUUGCAGUACUGAAUAGACAAGAGAAUUUAGCUGAUGAAGAAGGGUCAACAUAUAGAUAUAGUCUCCUGUUCACUUUCAGUCCACCCGUGAGGAAAAAAAACGUCCUUGAAAGACAGUCACAUUCUGUUCAAUAUUACAUUUCGAUUAAAUUAAAUGACUGAACACAUUUUAUUAUUGCUCACAUUAAUUAUUGAAAAAGCGCCACACACAUUACGAUUUUUUUGGCGUGGUCACAAAUGCAGAUGACUGUCUUGCCUUUGAAAAGCCCCCACAUCAUAGUGAAACUUCAGAUGCUAUCAAUUAGCAUGACUCAGCAGGUUGUGUUGACGCUAAGGCCUCUCAGUUGAGGUAGCUAGCAACACAUGCCGAUAGACUACAACAGAAACCACCCCCUAGCGCUCUCACGGUGCGCUGUUUACCAAGACUCAAAUGAGUCAGGACUUUCAAGAUGACUAAAAGAUGACUAAAGCCUCAACCGCUACCGAGAGUGAAAACAAAUGUGUUUUCCUGCUCCGUGUACAGUUUAACAAAAAAUGAAGUACAUGACCUUGCGUUAAAUUUGUCUAAGACAAAUAAGCAGCUGAACUGAAGGUUAAACUCAGAGCAAAACGAUAAUGUGUGAAGUGCUUUGAAUAAUUGUAUUAGGAUUCAAAAUAUUAUAUUAGAACAUUGUAUUAUAUUAUAACACCUCCCACCCCCACUUUCCUUUUACCCUCAAAACAGCCUCAAUUCGUUGGGGCAUGGACUCUACAAUGUGUCGAAAGCAUUCCACAGGGAUGCUGACCCAUUCUGACUCCAAUGCUUCCCACAGUUGUAUCAAGUUGGCUGGAUAUCCCAGCAGCGUUGUAGUUCUUGACACAAACUGGUGCACCUGGCACCUACUUACCAUACCCCGUUCAAAGGCACUUAAAUCUUUUGUCUUGCCUAUUCACCUUUCGGAAUUGCACACACAAAAUCCUUGUCUCAAUUGUCUCAAGGCUUAAAACAAUCCUUCUUUAACCUGUCUCCUCCCCUUCAUCUACACUGAUUUGAAGUGGAUUUAACAAGUGACAUCAAUAAGGGAUCAGCUUUCGCCUGUAUUCACCUGGUCAGUCUGUGUCAUGGAAAGGUAAAAGGUGUUCUUAAUGUUUUGUACACUAUACAUUAUAGGGAAAGGGGGUGCCACUCAGUAUACAAUUGGCAAUCGGGACAUUGAACUGUCUGUGAAACAAAUGGGGCUUUAUUGGAAAUUGACGUGUUAAUAAAUUCAGGUUUAUUAACCCAACCGAAGUGCACAUUUUGAAUUCGUAAUGCCUCCCUUUCUUUCUCUCCCUUGCUUUCUCAGCUAUGCCAGAGGACGAGACCAAGAGUAAGCAGAGAAGAUGUCUGCAUUAAUUUCCAAGCGUUUCAGUCACUUUACAUACAUGUCACGUGGGUGAGCAAUAUGAGGUGGUUUCAGUCAUUUAAGUGUAAUAAAACACUCAAAGAUAAAUAGCCAUCCUCUUAUAACAACAGGUAAAUGGAGGCGUCUGAAAAGUGACUUAAGACAUGAGGAACAAUGGUAAUGUCUUUGUGGUGUCCUUCUAGCUCUGAGAGAGAGGGAAUAAAAGAGGGACGAGAGGGAGAAUAAGAGAGGGACGGAGAGGGAGAAUAAGAGAGGGACGGAGAGAGAGAAUAAAAGAGGGACGAGAGGGAGAAUAAGAGGGACGGAGAGGGAGAAUAAGAGGGACGGAGAGGGAGAAUAAGAGGGACGGAGAGGGAGAAUAAGAGGGACGGAGAGGGAGAAUAAGAGGGACGGAGAGGGAGAAUAGGAGGGACGGAGAGGGAGAGAAUAAAAGAGGGAUGGAGAGAGAAUAGAAGGAUCGAUAGAGAGAAAAAAAGUGGGAGAGAUAAUAAAGGAGGGAUGAGAGAGAAAGAGGGAGAAUAAAAGAGGGAUGGAGAGGGAACAAUAGAGGCCCAGCUGCUCAUUGCCAUGGCCGGACUACCGCGUUUGGGGCCCGGGGCACCGACCUCCAGGCGGGUCUGUUUUGAGAAACUGCAUUUCAACACAUUUUGUGUUGAAGAAAAGGCAGUUUUGUAAUACUAUUCUACACAUUUCUCUACACAAUAGAAAAUGUUUUAUUUUUUCUGUUUUUAUAGCUCAUCUCAUGCUAUUGUUCAUUUUGCCAUGAGGCUGAGAGAAAGCUUUGCAGUUUUAUAACAAAUUUUUGGCAAUUCUACACAUUUUGCUAUCAUAUGCUAUCGGGGGGGCCCCCGACCUCCAUUCGGUAAUCCAGCCCUGCCUAUUGCUCUCCUCAUCUUUCCUCAUCUCGAAGCAGCAAACUGUCAGCCCGACUCACCAUCAGGCCCUGUUUUCCCCGGUGAACAUUCAACGCUGUCGGUGAGUUUGAGCUAAAUUGACAAAAACCAUCGACCGUUGAGUGUACCCUGUGGCCAGCCCUUGUCGCUUGACGUACAAUGCACACAGCUACUGACUCUCAAUGUGACCAGAGGAGGAAGGAAGAUGAACACUCUGGUCCUAUCUGCCUCUCCACCCCUCUGCAUCCACCCCCCUCCUAAACACAGACACACACACACACGCAAACCAAUCCUCCAGCCUCUAACCACAGCAAAGGUCACAAUCAACAUUCAUUGCUGUCGGUGGGUUUAACUAAGUGGAAAAGCUCGCUGAACAAUGAAUGCUACUGUGUCCCAGAUUUCCACGCCAACCAAACGUCAGAGGGGAUAUCGUCCGGAUUUGCUGAUUAUUGUGUUUUUAUGUAUUAUAUUAUGUAUUUCCCCCACAGGCUUGUAUGGAGAAUGUAAGUAGACAUAGCAUCGUAUAAAAUCUUGAUCAUGCUUGUUGGAGCUUUCUUAUGUGGCUAUGGGAGAAGGGGGAAUAAAAUUGAUAUAUCCAACCAUC